rnacentral:lncRNA from 1 species
CAGAAAGAACAUCCUCUCUGCCAUGCUGCCGUUUCUUUGUUCAGAUGUGUUUUGAAGAACGUGACAUGGUGCAUUGUCCUAGUUCCCUUUGUACCAUGGUGACAGGGACACCCAGCAGAAGAAUUUAGGAGAGGAAGCUUUUGCAGUGCAGUGUGGUUCCCAGCCUGACACUUCUGCAAGACUUCCUUUCAGCGGUGGACACAGACCACUGGAGAUACUAAAGAGGAGAAGCUCCUGUGUAUGCAGCUGGGAAGCAGUCCCCCUUUUCUCACUAUAGAAACCGUCUUGCUGUCUGUGUAUAGACCUUGGGGUACAUGGUAGAUGUUGAGAGUUGAAUUGUACUUGCCAAGAGAAGUAACUGAAAUUCUGACACUCCCCCCCCAUCCCCAACCAGUACCUCACAACCUUAAUUGGAAACAGGACCUUUCCAGUCAAUGCUCACUUGAAAUUCUUACAACAUGGGAAGGCACGAACACAAAUGCAGACAGACACACAGAAUCUUCAAGAAGACCAUGUGGAGGUACACAGAGAGGUGGCCACUUGCAGGGGGGAUCAGACAAGGUGGUGAUUGGGACAGUAUACUUAGGAACACUUGACACUGUCAGCAACUGAAAGCUGGAAGCUGGUCUUGUAGUAGAACCCCCACCCCCUCAGUACUUAGGAAGAGUGAGCCUGCCAGCACCUGGUGCCUAGACUUCCAAUUUCCACAACCGUGAGCAAUAAAGCUACGUGUUUUUAAGCC